GCCGGGCAUGGUGGCACAUGCCUGUAGUCCCAGCUACUCUGGAGACUGAGGUGGGAGGAUCACUUGAGCCCAGGAGCUCAAGGCUGCAGUGAGCAAGGAUCACACCACUGCACUCCAGCCUGGGCAACAAACCGAGACCCUGUCUCUU
rnacentral:SRP_RNA from 1 species